rnacentral:lncRNA from 1 species
CAAGGAUGAGGUGAAGAAGAGCUCCAAAACCUUCUUCUCCUUCUUCUCCUUCCUUUUCUUCCUCUCUUUUUCCUUCUUUUUCCUCUCUUUUUCCUUCUCCUUCUUUUCUCCUUCAACCGGUUAGAGAGAGAGAGAGAGCUAGAGAGAGAGAGGGGCUGUGAGAGUGAGAGGGGAGAGAGCUGAGAGUGAGAGGGAUAUAACCUCUAUUGUAACAAUAUGCUAAAAAGCCCUCCUUUUAUCAGAUUUUGCAACUUAACCCGCUGCUGUCGCGCCCUUGUACCGGUACACGGGGCCUUGUACCGGUACAUGCCCUUAAAUCGAGCGCAAACCGAGCCUCGGGUUUAUCUGUUUCGCAGAGCUUGUACCGGUACAAGCCAACCUUGUACCGGUACAGCGCCUGAAGCCUUCAAACCCGAGAGCUGCGCAGCCUGGCUGCGAUGGUUGUACCGGUACAGCCAUCACCCUUGUACCGGUACAACAGCUCCAGAAUACUAUUUUUCGAUCUGUUUCGGCUCCGCUUCGCGCCGAUCGAUGUCCAAACCAUUCCAACACCUUUAGAACUCACUUUUGCUCUUUCAAAUUUGUUGGAAUACCGAAUGGAGCUUAUCCAUAUCGUUUAAUCGCCUACUUUGGUCCAUUUGGCCAAAGUUAGCCAAUAUCGUCGGAUUUCGAUAUCUUACAAUUAUGGCAUCAGGACCAUUGUGACUCAUAUUGGUGGUAUAUAUGAUAUGGUAGAACCUAUCAUUAGCAUUGAGAUAUUGAGGCAUGAGACAGGUUUGGCUAUACCUCCUCAAAUUGAGGAUGGGAUCAUACUCACACGUAUUGGUUCCGGCUUGUGGGAGGUCGCUCCUCCACAAGCGGUGUACUGCGGAGUGUAGACACCACGGGUGAGAGUGCCCGGCGAAGAUCCCUCAGGCGGUUGAGCCUUGUGCCUCCCCCGUUAGACGGGAUACGUGGAUUGUGAGUUGGGGUAAACCAGGAGCACCUCGGGUUGAUUGGGUAAAGGCCAAAGGAAAUGAGAAAUGGACAUGCAUGCAUAAUCAUCAUGUAUUUGAAUAUGAAUAUCUAUCUGUGGAUUGCUUUCUUGCAGGUAUUGUAUUAGAAGUGCAUUAGUUGGUUUGUUAUCUUUCUUUAUUGAAAUACAUAUGCCUGAAUUAGACCUAGUGGGCGAAUCGGCGUGGUCGGCGGCCCAACCCACUGGGAACUUCGUUCUAGUUCUCAUUACCAUUAACUCUGCAGAUCCGUGCGCGAGCGGGGCGGCGGAGGAUCGAGGCAAGGGUGUUGCGCCGUAGUUAGCGGCCCUCGAGAUAUAGGCAUACCCUAUAUUUUGGUGUACUCAACUGUAGGUGUUGAACUGUAAAUGAUGUAAAGCAAGAAAUGUAAAUUAUAUUUUGGGUAAUGUAAGGAUGAUGUAAAUCAUGUAUUUUGGUUAAAGGAAAACGUGAUGGAAAUGAAUGGGUAAAUGUAAUAGACUACUUGUGUUUGAUUCAAAUGAAAUCAAAUGACUUGUAUAUCGGAUGCUUAGAUAGUU